GCCAGACUCCUACGGGAGGCAGCAGUGGGGAAUAUUGCACAAUGGGCGAAAGCCUGAUGCAGCAACGCCGCGUGAAGGAAGAAGGCCUUCGGGUCGUAAACUUCUGUCCUUGGGGAAGAAGAACUGACGGUACCCAAGGAGGAAGCCCCGGCUAACUACGUGCCAGCAGCCGCGGUAAUACGUAGGGGGCAAGCGUUGUCCGGAUUUACUGGGUGUAAAGGGCGUGUAGCCGGGUUGACAAGUCAGAUGUGAAAUCCUGCGGCUUAACCGCAGAACUGCAUUUGAAACUGUUGAUCUUGAGUACUGGAGAGGCAGACGGAAUUCCUAGUGUAGCGGUGAAAUGCGUAGAUAUUAGGAGGAACACCAGUGGCGAAGGCGGUCUGCUGGACAGCAACUGACGGUGAGGCGCGAAAGCGUGGGGAGCAAACAGGAUUAGAUACCCGAGUA
rnacentral:rRNA from 1 species